rnacentral:rRNA from 1 species
AACGAACGCUGGCGGCAGGCCUAACACAUGCAAGUCGAGCGAGACCUUCGGGUCUAGCGGCGGACGGGUGAGUAACGCGUGGGAAUAUGCCCUUUGGUACGGAAUAGCCUCGGGAAACUGAGAGUAAUACCGUAUGUGCCCUUCGGGGGAAAGAUUUAUCGCCAAAGGAUUAGCCCGCGUUGGAUUAGGUAGUUGGUGGGGUAAUGGCCUACCAGGCCUACGAUCCAUAGCUGGUUUGAGAGGAUGAUCAGCCACACUGGGACUGAGACACGGCCCAGACUCCUACGGGAGGCAGCAGUGGGGAAUCUUAGACAAUGGGGGCAACCCUGAUCUAGCCAUGCUGCGUGAGUGAUGAAGGCCUUAGGGUUGUAAAGCUCUUUCAGCUGGGAAGAUAAUGAUGGUACCAGCAGAAGAAGCCCCGGCUAACUCCGUGCCAGCAGCCGCGGUAA